rnacentral:rRNA from 1 species
AACGAACGCUGGCGGCAGGCCUAACACAUGCAAGUCGAGCGAGCAUUUCGGUGCUAGCGGCGGACGGGUGAGUAACGCGUGGGAACGUGCCCUUUUCUGCGGAAUAGUCCUGGGAAACUGGGGGUAAUACCGCAUACGCCCUUUUGGGGAAAGAUUUAUCGGAGAAGGAUCGGCCCGCGUUGGAUUAGGUAGUUGGUGGGGUAAUGGCCCACCAAGCCGACGAUCCAUAGCUGGUUUGAGAGGAUGAUCAGCCACACUGGGACUGAGACACGGCCCAGACUCCUACGGGAGGCAGCAGUGGGGAAUCUUAGACAAUGGGAGCAACCCUGAUCUAGCCAUGCCGCGUGAGUGAUGAAGGCCUUAGGGUUGUAAAGCUCUUUCAGCUGGGAAGAUAAUGACGGUACCAGCAGAAGAAGCCCCGGCUAACUCCGUG